AUGCCUCUCUUUCUCAUCUAUGUGAAGGCAAAGGAGGUUGAGGCCCUUGACCUUAGCACAUGUCCCAUACUCCAAACGGCCCUCACAGACACUGACACCGUGAUGAAGACUGCAUACAAGAUCAUGCCGAAGAAGAUUGUGGUACUUGUUUCCACCAUCAAGCAUAUCAUCACCCAGGUGCUUCUUCAAGUAGAUCCCCAAGCCUUUCAGGGGGGAGUGUAUUUGGAGACACCUGCUAUCAUCAACGACACCCAAGCUCUUCUGUGGUCUAUUCCCUGGGUCGAGGUCACUGAGGAGGAGGAGCUGUUGAACGGUCAGCAGUCCACUGAUGCUUAUGAGGUGGCUAAGACUGUCAUCAACAACCUUGAGCAAGUGCUAGGCCCGAAACCUGUGCUGGCGAGAGCACUGGGAAUCGGGUCACACAUCUUGACAAGGUACAUUGUUCAUCUCGUAGGUCUAUGCAUUGCUAAGACAGUGCCCGUUGUUUAUGCUGCCAAUGAAGAGGAGAGACGUAUUAGUCAGGAUAUGGUGAACAUCUGUCCUCUACCUGCUAGAUUGAUCAUUAGUGGAGAACUAUUCAGUGACUUCAUAGUGAAGUUUAUUCUAAAACUUCAUCCAAUGAACGGACGCGGUACUAAACAGCUUGACCAACAGGCUCUGCUCUUACUGGUCGUUAAAAUGGCCUCGGUUGCUUUUAACAUCUUGAGGAAGAUUCCAGGUAUAUCUGUGGAUGAAAAUCUGUGCCCCCCCUUAUGCAACAUGAGAAAGACAGUGUUGCACAUGCAGAGUGCCAUGAUACAUCAGUUUGGCACGACAAUCAAGAUAAAAAAACUGGUUGCCAUGAAGGACACGGUGAUCAUCUCCACCAUCCCCAGCGCUAUCUGUGAGGGGAUCCUGAUGGUGUACAAGGGCAUCAGUGACACCUAUCCGCUUCAAGUCCUCGGCCCACGGUGUCCAAUAGCUAGGAGCUGCGAAGAGGCUAUGGAGAGCAAACUCUUUGCAGUAGCCCUACCCGAGGACCUUAGGAAGACCAUCUACGAUCACUACGGGUCCUGGGUCGGGAAACUGGCACUGUUCCUGAAGGCUUUCCCCCUGAAUGACCGCAUCAAGUUGGAAUACAUCCGUCGUGUUUCUCUGCCUCGUUCCUCCAACAGAGAUGUAGUCUGGAUCGACCCCAAAUACUUUGUUGGGGACGACGAUGAAGAGGUUGUGACAUCAAGCAACACAAUGCCUGAUAAUCCUCUUGCUCUCGACGUCAGUCAGGCUGCCUUUUUGAAGCAGUUCCCACAGACUGAUGUUUUCGAGGUAACCACAAAGGACUGUGGAAAGCCUGUGCAAGAACCGGCUCGGACGGAGACCGAGAGGAACAAACCAAAGAUGACAAACCUUGAUAUUGUUCCUGUUAUUCUUGUCAGGAAAGUCUUUGACUCUGUUUUUGCAGAUUCAUGUACAAUCAAGCAGCAAUACGGUUCAUGGGAAGACGUCUCACUUUGCAAUGAUAUGGUAGAGCACCUACAUAUCCAGGUUCAGAAAGAGGCAUUGAAAUACCAAAACCAAAGACUGUUCUUACACACUCUGAAGAAGCUCAACGAUGAGACGGACAAGAUGGCCAAAUUCUUAGAAGACGUCUCAUUCUCUAUCAAGAGCAAGUACUUCAGGACUUUCCAUGACUGGCCAAUGGUUAAAGCCCAGCUAUACCCAGAAAUACAGUCUCUGCUAGUCUGCGAUAUCAUGGUCAGAGAGAUCAUGGUUCACCUGAGGCCUACCUUGACCUUCGCCAAGGACACCAAGAAGGGUGAUGACCGGCCAUACUGCAUCAACAUCCCGGUCAAGAGAGAGACCAGAACCCCGGAUGAUACAGGUAGAACAAUGCUACUGUUGGUGUUGUACAUUCAGAAUCAGGCCUAG
ensembl:lncRNA